GUCCUGAAAUAGCUCAGUCAGCAGAGCAUGAGCCUUUUAAUCUCAGGGUCUUGGGUUUGAGCCCCACAUUGGGCA